ACGCGGCAUUCGGUAAAAAAAAAACUGUCAAACAAGAACCAUAGAAAAUGAUACCAUGUUGUUGCUCCCUAAUUCCAUCACCGGCUUCCAUAUCCAAGUUCAUCUCAGACCAACCUUACCUCUCCAUGCUAGACAAAAAUUGCACUUCAAUGAAAGACCUUCAAAAAAUCCAUGCCCAACUCAUAAAAACUGGCCUAGCGAAAGACACCAUUGCUGCUAGCCGUGUUUUGGCCUUCUGUACCUCUCCUGCAGGUGACAUCAACUAUGCCUACUUAGUCUUCACACAAAUACGAAACCCAAACCUUUUUGUAUGGAACACUAUUAUCAGAGGCUUCUCUCAAAGCUCAACUCCACACAAUGCAAUCUCUUUAUUUAUUGACAUGAUGUUCACUUCACCAACUACUCAACCUCAAAGGCUGACUUAUCCUUCAGUUUUCAAGGCUUAUGCUCAACUUGGUCUAGCCCACGAAGGUGCUCAGCUUCAUGGCAGAGUGAUAAAACUGGGACUUGAAAAUGAUCAGUUUAUACAAAAUACAAUCUUGAAUAUGUAUGUAAAUUGUGGGUUUUUGGGUGAAGCUCAGAGAAUUUUUGAUGGAGCUACGGGAUUUGAUGUUGUUACGUGGAAUACGAUGAUUAUAGGACUUGCUAAAUGUGGAGAGAUUGAUAAGUCUAGGAGGUUGUUUGAUAAGAUGUUGUUGAGGAAUACAGUGUCAUGGAAUUCUAUGAUUAGUGGGUAUGUGAGGAAAGGCAGGUUCUUUGAGGCAAUGGAGCUCUUUAGCAGAAUGCAAGAGGAGGGGAUUAAGCCUAGUGAAUUUACAAUGGUGAGCUUGUUAAAUGCUUGUGCUUGCUUAGGAGCACUGAGACAGGGAGAAUGGAUUCAUGAUUAUAUAGUGAAGAACAAUUUUGCAUUGAACUCUAUUGUUAUUACAGCGAUUAUAGACAUGUAUUCCAAGUGUGGAAGCAUAGAUAAGGCUCUUCAAGUGUUCAAGAGUGCCCCCAAGAAAGGAUUAUCAUGCUGGAACUCCCUAAUUUUAGGCCUAGCCAUGAGUGGCCGUGGGAAUGAAGCAGUCCGAUUAUUUUCAAAGCUCGAGUCUUCAAAUCUCAAACCGGACCAUGUUAGUUUUAUAGGAGUCCUGACAGCUUGUAAUCACGCUGGGAUGGUGGACAGGGCAAAGGACUAUUUCUUGUUAAUGUCAGAAACAUACAAGAUCGAGCCAUCGAUAAAACAUUAUAGCUGCAUGGUUGAUGUGCUAGGCAGAGCAGGACUCCUUGAAGAGGCAGAAGAGCUAAUAAAAAGCAUGCCAGUAAACCCAGAUGCCAUUAUAUGGGGGUCUUUACUCUCCUCUUGCAGGGAGUACGGAAACAUUGAGAUGGCAAAACAAGCGGCGAAGCGUGUGAAUGAGUUGGAUCCAAAUGAGAGCUCAAGUUUUAUACUUCUGUCAAACGUUUAUGCUGCUCAUAAUCAUUUUGAAGAAGCAAUUGAGCAAAGGCUCUCUCUGAAAGAGAAGCAGAUGGACAAAGAACCUGGAUGUAGUUUGAUUGAAGUGAAUGGCGAGGUUCAUGAAUUCGUUGCGGGGGGACGCCUGCAUCCAAGAUCCAAAGAUAUCUACCAUGCAUUGGAUGAUCUGGGAUUGACGUUAAAGGAGAUGGGAUAGGAUUAAUAUGAACCAAUUAAGAUUAUUCUUUCUAGAGGAUUAUAUCAUGUCAGAAAAUAGGUUCUUUCGGUUCCCAGAAGUUCAGUAUUUCUCUUGUUCAAGGUGGAUGAACUCCACUGCAACUCAGGGUUGAAAGAAAGAACAGAUCUGGUCAUCAUCGAAUGAGGGAACUCUAGACUGAUGGAAAAAUAAGAGUUCAUGCCAAGCAGAACAGAGAAGUGCUUUUACAAGGAAGCCUGAACACAUUAGUGAAAUGACACAACAUCGAAGAAUAUUAGGAUUUGCCAAUAUGAGAGGCUAGAAGAUUUGCU